rnacentral:rRNA from 1 species
CUUAACACAUGCAAGUCGAGGGGCAGCCAUGAUUUGUAGCAAUACAGAUUGAUGGCGACCGGCGCACGGGUGAGUAACGCGUAUGCAACUUACCUAUCAGAGGGGAUAGCCCGGCGAAAGUCGGAUUAAUACCCCCAUAAAACAGGGGGUCCCGCCAUGGGGAAUAUUUGUUAAAGAUUCAUCGCUGAUAGAUAGGCAUGCGUUCCAUUAGGCAGUUGGCGGGGUAACGGCCCACCAAACCGACGAUGGAUAGGGGGUUCUGAGAGGAAGGGUCCCCCACAUUGGUACUGAGACACGGACCAAACUCCUACGGGAGGCAGCAGUGAGGAAUAUUGGUCAAUGGCCGAGAGGCUGAACCAGCCAAGUCGCGUGAAGGAAGAAGGAUCUAUGGUUUGUAAACUUCUUUUAUAGGGGAAUAAAGUGGAGGACGUGUCCUUUUUGUAUGUACCCUAUGAAUAAGCAUCGGCUAACUCCGUG